rnacentral:rRNA from 1 species
AGAGUUUGAUCAUGGCUCAGGACGAACGCUGGCGGCAUGGAUUAGGCAUGCAAGUCGAACGAAAAGCAGGAGCUUGCUCCUGUGGACGAGUGGCGAAAGGGUGAGUAACGCGUGAGUAACCUGCCCUCAAGUUGGGGAUAACCUUUGGAAACGAAGGCUAAUACCGAAUGUGAAUAGUUUUCCGCAUGGAUUUCUAUUUAAAAAUUUAUUGCUUGAGGAUGGGCUCGCGUACCAUUAGCUAGUUGGUGUGGUAACGGCAUACCAAGGCUACGAUGGUUAGGUGGAUUGAGAGAUCGGUCACCCACACUGGGACUGAGACACUGCCCAGACUCCUACGGGAGGCAGC